AAGGUCAUGCGAAUUUACCUCAAUUUCAAAAACGACCAAAACCGGUUCAAACUUUGCUUUCAUUGCUAUGGACUUCAAAGCAAUCGUUGGACUCUCUUGAAAAGAAGAUAACAGAAGUGAAAUUGAGAGACAAGAAAGUGAGACAGAUUGGGCAAAUGGGAUCGGUGUGCGAUGUAGCCCAGAUUCAAAGCUACGUCCCCAUAGGAACCAAAGCUUUCUGCCAAGUAACCGGUUUGAUUCUACACUUGGAUUUUUGCCGGACAAUCGAAAACUACUUUACCCUGUUAAGGUCAGCCAGCAAACCAGACGUAGAGGGUUGGCCUGGUUCUGCUCGGUGAACUCAGACUGUCAUCUCCUCUCUGGGUGGUACUAAAGGUCCAGAUAUGAGUGUGUUUGCUCUGAAGACUUUUGAAGGCAGAGGUCAUCCCGCAUAAACCUUAGGAAUGCAUGGAGCGGGUCAGCGUAUGCUUUCUUCCACCUCUCUACUCGACCUGAAGGCACUCAGAAGGUCACCUUGGAAGAUUAGAUGAUGUCUUGAAAAGGUGAGCACUGACAAUGCCUGAUCCUGAGCUGUCUCUAAAACCUGCCAGAUGAUCCACUUGAUCCUAAAGAAGUGUCAGCAUUGAGAGGAUUAUGGGAUUGCUGGUGGUCACUGAGGCGUGUCUGUACGCAGUGAUCUGGGUGGUAUGAGAUGAGGGCGCGCAGGCAAAGAUCUGUUUUGCGCAACUCCAUAUGUACCAAACAUACAAUACAGCUUCUGUCCGGCACAUCUUUACAUCUUUGAAGAUCCUUUGUACCGGACAGAGAAGUUUGUUGGAAAAAUCUGACAACAUGAACUUAACAAGUGUUACUCGCCAUCUUAACGGGACAAUCAUACUGGACUCAGAUGAUGAAAAAGCUAAAGCUGUUAUUUUUGAAGACAAGUUGUUCAAAAUCGCGCUGUUAUCCCUGGCACUGUGCGUCCUGGCAGUAACCGGAAUCAUACUCUGUAUCCUAUACCACAAUAACAGGAGGAAAAGUAAACUGGCCUAUAUCAACACUGCGACUCGUGAGGUAGCUGAGGAACCGGUGGUGCUUACAGGUGCCAGAACAACCCAUAGUUUAUGUAACAAAUUUAGUAGACGGGAGCUAAAGGACAACUCGCGUAUCUACUACAUCUUCAGCAACCCUACACCUGUGGUACCCGAGGAGGACAUGGCCUCUACACACACGCUGAAAGAGUAUGACAUCACCCUGAACCCACCCAGUUUUUACAUGCAGGUCUCAAACUUCUUGUAAUGCAUCAAAUGUAAGAAACUAUUUCUUUCAUUCAGUUUAGCUGAAAUCAUAUGGUUUUUUACAAACACCAUGGUUAAUUUUUCGUAUGGGAACGUCAACAUCUUGCACAGAAUGAUAAAUGGACUGCAUUUAUAUAGCGCUUUCAUAGACCAAUGCCCAUCCAAAGCGCUUUACAAUUGAAUUUGCCUAACAUUCACACACUGACGGUGGUGAAAAAUUGGGAGCACCAUCAACCUGAUUUGUGUACAGAUAAGUAAAUCAACACGCACGACAACGUACAAUU